rnacentral:rRNA from 1 species
UACGGAGGGUGCAAGCGUUAUCCGGAUUCACUGGGUUUAAAGGGUGCGUAGGUGGGCAGGUAAGUCAGUGGUGAAAUCUCCGGGCUUAACCCGGAAACUGCCAUUGAUACUAUCUGUCUUGAAUACCGUGGAGGUGAGCGGAAUAUGUCAUGUAGCGGUGAAAUGCUUAGAUAUGACAUAGAACACCAGUUGCGAAGGCAGCUCACUACACGAAUAUUGACACUGAGGCACGAAAGCGUGGGGAUCAAACAGG